rnacentral:rRNA from 1 species
CUGGCGGCAGGCCUAACACAUGCAAGUCGAGCGGUAGAGAGAAGCUUGCUUCUCUUGAGAGCGGCGGACGGGUGAGUAAUGCCUAGGAAUCUGCCUGGUAGUGGGGGAUAACGUUCGGAAACGGACGCUAAUACCGCAUACGUCCUACGGGAGAAAGCAGGGGACCUUCGGGCCUUGCGCUAUCAGAUGAGCCUAGGUCGGAUUAGCUAGUUGGUGAGGUAAUGGCUCACCAAGGCGACGAUCCGUAACUGGUCUGAGAGGAUGAUCAGUCACACUGGAACUGAGACACGGUCCAGACUCCUACGGGAGGCAGCAGUGGGGAAUAUUGGACAAUGGGCGAAAGCCUGAUCCAGCCAUGCCGCGUGUGUGAAGAAGGUCUUCGGAUUGUAAAGCACUUUAAGUUGGGAGGAAGGGUUGUAGAUUAAUACUCUGCAAUUUUGACGUUACCGACAGAAUAAGCACCGGCUAACUCUGUGCCAGCAGCCGCGGUAAUACAGAGGGUGCAAGCGUUAAUCGGAAUUACUGGGCGUAAAGCGCGCGUAGGUGGUUUGUUAAGUUGGAUGUGAAAUCCCCGGGCUCAACCUGGGAACUGCAUUCAAAACUGACUGACUAGAGUAUGGUAGAGGGUGGUGGAAUUUCCUGUGUAGCGGUGAAAUGCGUAGAUAUAGGAAGGAACACCAGUGGCGAAGGCGACCACCUGGACUAAUACUGACACUGAGGUGCGAAAGCGUGGGGAGCAAACAGGAUUAGAUACCCUGGUAGUCC